CUUGGCCGAGGGCUAUCCCAACCGAGACCGCCAAGGCUGUUAAAAAGUUAUGUAUGCAUAACGCAUGUUUUUAUUUUGAAAGCAUAGCCGUUCCUUGGCGUUGGCUGAGUUCACCCUCACGUGGUGUUUUGGCGUGAAGUGAACUCUAAAGUUUUAACCUCAGGAGUUAUCCAACCACGCCUCUCAUACUGAGGUAUGAAUAUAAUAGGGUUACCGUGCC
rnacentral:lncRNA from 1 species